UGGAGUAAGCUUAUUGAUAACUCAUUAUAUAUCAGUGGUGGUAACAUAUUGAGUCAAAAGAAUCAGCCGCAUAAUAUAAGAGGAGGCCCAGUACUUUAUUCUUAAAACUCAAAACUCACAUUUCUUCUCUAUAACAUUUAAAGAUUCCAUCAACCCAAUGCAAAUUCUUUUUCUCUUCACCAUAGUCAAAAACAUAUCAAGCACUUAAAGGGGCUAUCUUUUCAAAAUUGUGAUUUAAAAAACUCACAAAAUCAGAAUUGCUAGUUUUGUGAUAGCAUUACUUAAAGGAAGAUGGGCAAGGAGGGUGUUGCAACCAGAGUUUUAGCAGGAGGCAUUACAUCACAGUAAGCUGCGUCACGGGUGUCAUUUGUGAUGAUUUGAAACCAUAGAAACAAAUCAAAGCUACAGCUCAUGUUUGCAUUGAGCUAAGAUUGCAGGCGCGUGAACUGUUCACACCACCAAAAAUGAGUAAUUUCACUGCUGUAGAAAGAAGACUAGUGACAAAGAUGGAACAGUGAGAAAAGCACCACAUCAGAACUCUGUGAAUCUCUUGCUACUAAUUUUGCUCAAGUACCCAUCCCUUUAGCAUACCACCUAUGUUUAAGGAAAUGGCUCCAUCCCCAACUCAGGCAAAUGUAUUCUGAUUAUUUUAAGCCAUUUAUCUUAGUUCCAUGGUAUCCUUUUUAGGCCAAAGAGAUAUGAGGAGGGGUUGGAUGAAGGCUUCUGGAAAAAUUUCUCCACUUUUAAGUAGGUAACACUGAAAAAUCAGACCUUUUCAGCUUCUCCACUUCAUUCUGUCUGGAUGUGAUACCUAGAAAUGCUACCAGCUGAGGAAGAAGCCAAAAUGUGGAGAAGGACAGAAUCAAGAGAAUUGCAAAGAAGCUGAGUUGGAAUCCUGACAAACCACGCUGGAGUGGCCCUACCUCCGUUGUUUCAGGCAUUUUGAGUCAGGGCUUUCUGGUACUUACAGUCAAAGGCAUCUAAAUGACAGUCUCCAAAAUUCACCAUAGCAUUGUGUAAGAGGCAAAAUACCCUGACUUACUUAACCUCCAGAAAUCUCUUUGUUACUUUGUUAUCCUUUGGUAUAAAACACUUCCCAGAAUUCUUUUCUGGGAAAAAAAAUCCCUGCAGAAAAAUUAGUCCAGUGCUACACUGAGAAAGUUACUAAACAGUUAAUCACUAUUUCAAUUUGAUUAUAAUUAUUAUAACUUCUGACUGCAAAAUAGUUUAAAGUUUGCGAAUUGCUUUGUUUCAUUUCAUUUAAUUCUAUUAACAGCUCUGUGAGAUAGAGGAAAAGAUGAAGAUGUGAAAAAUGGAGCACAGAAAGAUUACAAUAUUGACCAAGAUCAUGAAUCUAGAAAGUGUCAUAGUCAGGACUUAAGUCUAAGUCCUCUGAUCUAGUGCUCUUUCCAUCAAAUGACAGCUAGAGGUUGGAGCAAACCUAUGAGUUAUGAGAGAAGUAGGAAGGCAGCUCCAGACCACUUGCAAGGAAACUGGGAUCUGCUCUGGGUUGUGUCAUCCACCAGCUGUGAAAACUUAGCUGAGUCAUUUUUAUUUCUCUGAGCCACAAUUUCAAGGAACUACACUAGACAAUCUAUUAUGUGCUUCCGAUUCUAACAUCCUAUGGCUCUGUAACUGAGAAUGCUUAUGCAAAUAAGGUACAAAUCAUGCUUUAUAUAAACUAUGAGUCUUCCCCGGUGACUACCGGAGAAACCCACUGUGUAUAUUCUGCUGGGGUUCUAUUUUAGCUUCCACAUUCAUGUCCCAUGAACACCUGUGAAAAUGUCAGCAGUUAACAGAUGAGUUGAACAUCAACUUAAACUAGCUUUAUAACCCAAGUCACGGGCUUCUCAUUUGCAGAAUAAUUUUACUCUAGAGCUGCAAAAAUCAUUCGUUGAUGAGCUAAUUUUGUCACUGUGAUUCUUAGAACACAUUUAAAUGGGCAUAAAAAGGCAGUCUUACAGAGUCUUCAAGAUGCUUAUUUAUUAUACACUCGAAUGGCAAGUUUCCACAAUUAAUUGUCCUAUGACUGAUUUCCCUUCACUAUUUUAAUGAAGCAUGUGAUAUUUGCUACCUCAAUAGGUUUAGGUUUGCAAAUUUAGCACUAGAGGAGCUAUUUUCCCCUAAGCAAUUUGUCAGCAGUUUGAGAAAAUUGUCAUCAGGGAAACCAUGUACUUUGGCUGCAGUUUCACAGUCCAAAAGCUUGUCUUCACACAGACAAAUUAUUAAGUCAAAGAAAAUGUAGCACAGCAUCACUUAAAUCUCUGAACUAGAAACUAGUCUAUGUUAGAAAGCACAAAAUGAUACUAGCAGAGAAAUUGUAAAGUAUAAAAUAAUGCUUUAUGAAGAAUUUUAAGCACUGGCUGACUAGAAAUAUUAGGGGUUAUGGCUA
rnacentral:lncRNA from 1 species